UACAGGGGGUGCAAACGUUGCUCGGAAUCAUUGGGCGUAAAGCGCACGUAGGCGGUCUGUUAUGUCGGAUGUGAAAGCCCUCGGCUCAACUGAGGAAGUGCAUCCGAAACUGGCAGGCUAGAGUACUAAAGAGGGUCGCGGAAUUCCCGGUGUAGUGGUGAAAUGCGUAGAGAUCCGGAGGAACCCCAGAGGCGAAGGCGGCGCCCUGGCUCGCAACUGACGCUCAGACACGACAGCAUGGGGAGCGAACGGG
rnacentral:rRNA from 1 species